AUCACUUCUUGGCCUUUUGGCUAAGAUCAAGUGUAGUAUCUGUUAUUAGUUUAAUAUCUGAUACGUCCUCUAUCCAAGGACAGUAUAUUAAAUGGAUUUUUGGAGUAGGGAGUUGGAAUAGGAGCUUGCUCUGUACACUCCACACAUCGACCUGGUAUUGCAGUACUUCCAGGAAUGGUGUACCUUCC
rnacentral:snRNA from 1 species